AGCAAACAGGAUUAGAUACCUGGUAGUCACGCUGUAAACGAUGUCGAUUUGGAGUUUGGGGGCAUGACCCUUGGGCUCCGGAGCUAACGCGUUAAAUCGACGCUGGGGAGUACGGCCGCAAGGUUAAAACUCAAAUGAAUUGACGGGGGCCCGCACAAGCGGUGGAGCAUGUGGUUUAAUUCGAUGCAACGCGAAGAACCUUACCUGGUCUUGACAUCCAUAGAAUCUUUCAGAGAUGAGGGAGUGCCUUCGGGAGCUAUGAGACAGGUGCUGCAUGGCUGUCGUCAGCUCGUGUUGUGAAAUGUUGGGUUAAGUCCCGCAACGAGCGCAACCCCUAUCCUUUGUUGCCAGCACGUAAUGGUGGGAACUCAAAGGAGACUGCCGUUGAUAAAGCGGAGGAAGGUGGGGACGACGUCAAGUCAUCAUGGCCCUUACGACCAGGGCUACACACGUGCUACAAUGGCGUAUACAAAGGGAUGCGAAGGUGCGAACUGGAGCGGACCUCACAAAGUACGUCUAAGUCCGGAUUGGAGUCUGCAACUCGACUCCAUGAAGUCGGAAUCGCUAGUAAUCGUGAAUCAGAAUGUCACGGUGAAUACGUUCCCGGGCCUUGUACACACCGCCCGUCACACCAUGGGAGUGGGUUGCACCAGAAGUAGAUAGCUUAACCUUCGGGAGGGCGUUUACCACGGUGUGGUUCAUGACUGGGGUGAAGUCGUAACAAGGUAACCA
rnacentral:rRNA from 1 species